rnacentral:rRNA from 1 species
UCUACCUACGGGAGGCAGCAGUAGGGAAUCUUCCACAAUGGACGAAAGUCUGAUGGAGCAACGCCGCGUGAGUGAAGAAGGGUUUCGGCUCGUAAAGAUCUGUUGGUAGUGAAGAAAGAUAGAGGUAGGAACUGGCCUUUAUUUGACGGUAAUUACUUAGAAAGUCACGGCUAACUACGUGCCAGCAGCCGCGGUAAUACGUAGGUGGCAAGCGUUGUCCGGAUUUUUUGGGCGUAAAGCGAGUGCAGGCGGUUCAAUAAGUCUGAU